UACAGAGGGUGCAAGCGUUGUUCGGAAUUACUGGGCGUAAAGGGCGCGUAGGCGGUGUGUCAAGUCAGGCGUGAAAGCCCCGGGUCAACCUGGGAACCGCGCUUGAGACUGGCACGCUCGAGUUCGGGAGAGGAUGGUGGAAUUCCCAGUGUAGAGGUGAAAUUCGUAGAUAUUGGGAAGAACACCGAUGGCGAAGGCAGCCAUCUGGACCGACACUGACGCUGAGGCGCGAAAGCGUGGGGAGCA
rnacentral:rRNA from 1 species